rnacentral:rRNA from 1 species
GCCUAACACAUGCAAGUCGAGCGGUAGCACAGAGAGCUUGCUCUCCGGUGACGAGCUGCGGACGGGUGAGUAAUGUCUGGGAAACUGCCUGAUGGAGGGGGAUAACUACUGGAAACGGUAGCUAAUACCGCAUAAUGUCGCAAGACCAAAGUGGGGGACCUUCGGGCCUCAUGCCAUCAGAUGUGCCCAGAUGGGAUUAGCUAGUAUGUGGGGUAACGGCUCACCUAGGCGACGAUCCCUAGCUGGUCUGAGAGGAUGACCAGCCACACUGGAACUGAGACACGGUCCAGACUCCUACGGGAGGCAGCAGUGGGGAAUAUUGCACAAUGGGCGCAAGCCUGAUGCAGCCAUGCCGCGUGUGUGAAGAAGGCCUUCGGGUUGUAAAGCACUUUCAGCGGGGAGGAAGGCGGUGAGGUUAAUAACCUCAUCGAUUGACGUUACCCGCAGAAGAAGCACCGGCUAACUCCGUGCCAGCAGCCGCGGUAAUACGGAGGGUGCACGCGUUAAUCGGAAUUACUGGGCGUAAAGCGCACGCAGGCGGUCUGUCAAGUCGGAUGUGAAAUCCCGGGCUCAACUGGGCAACUGCAUGCGAAACUGGCAGGCUAGAGUCUUGUAGAGGGGGGUAGAAUUCCAGGUGUAGCGGUGAAAUGCGUAGAGAUCUGGAGGAAUACCGGUGGCGAAGGCGGCCCCCUGGACAAAGACUGACGCUCAGGUGCGAAAGCGUGGGGAGCAAACAGGAUUAGAUACCCUGGUAGUCCACGCCGUAAACGAUGUCGAUUUGGAGGUUGUGCCCUUGAGGCGUGGCUUCCGGAGCUAACGCGUUAAAUCGAGCGCCUGGGGAGUACGGCCGCAAGGUUAAAACUCAAAUGAAUUGACGGGGGCCCGCACAAGCGGUGGAGCAUGUGGUUUAACUUCGAGGCAACGCGAAGAACCUUACUGGUCUUGACAUCCACAGAACUUCGCAGAGAUGCUUUGGUGCCUUCGGGAACUGUGAGACAGGUGCUGCAUGGCUGUCGUCAGCUCGGUGUUGUGAAAUGUUGGGUUAAGUCCCGCAACGCGCGCAACCCUUAUCCUUUGUUGCCAGCGGUCCGGCCGGGAACUCAAAGGAGACUGCCAGUGAUAAACUGGAGGAAGGUGAGGAUGACGUCAAGUCAUCAUGGCCCUUACGACCAGGGCUACACACGUGCUACAAUGGCAUAUACAAAGAGAAGCGACCUCGCGAGAGCAAGCGGACCUCAUAAAGUAUGUCGUAGUCCGGAUUGGAGUCUGCAACUCGACUCCAUGAAGUCGGAAUCGCUAGUAAUCGCGGAUCAGCAUGUCGCGGUGAAUACGUUCCCGGUCUUGUACACACCGCCCGUCACACCAUGGGAGCGGGUUCCGCCUAGAAGUGGGUAGCCU